rnacentral:rRNA from 1 species
UGGGGAAUCCUGGUCAAUGGGCGAAAGCCUGAACCUGCGACGCCGCGUGAGUGAUGAAGGUCGUAAGAUCGUAAAACUCUUUUCAGGGAUCUUAAAGCCUGUCUGUCAACAACAGGCAGGUCUGACUCUCCCUGGAAGAAGCCCCAGCCAACUACGUGCCAGCAGCUGCGGUAAUACGUAGGGGGCGAGCGUUAUUCGGAAUUACUGGGUGUAAAGGGUAUGUAGGCGGCCCUUCAGGUCGCGUGUCAAAGUCCAGUGCUCAACGCUGGGUGUGCACGCGAUA